AACGAACGCUGGCGGCAUGCCUAACACAUGCAAGUCGAACGAGACCUUCGGGUCUAGUGGCGCACGGGUGCGUAACGCGUGGGAACCUGCCCUUAGGUUCGGAAUAACUCUCCGAAAGGGGUGCUAAUACCGGAUAAUGUCUUCGGCCCAAAGAUUUAUCGCCUUUGGAUGGGCCCGCGUUGGAUUAGCUAGUUGGUAGGGUAAAAGCCUACCAAGGCGACGAUCCAUAGCUGGUCUGAGAGGAUGAUCAGCCACACUGGGACUGAGACACGGCCCAGACUCCUACGGGAGGCAGCAGUGGGGAAUAUUGGACAAUGGGCGAAAGCCUGAUCCAGCAAUGCCGCGUGAGUGAUGAAGGCCUUAGGGUUGUAAAGCUCUUUUACCCGGGAUGAUAAUGACAGUACCGGGAGAAUAAGCUCCGGCUAACUCCGUG
rnacentral:rRNA from 1 species